rnacentral:rRNA from 1 species
UACGGGGGGGGGCAAGCGUUGUUCGGAAUUACUGGGCGUAAAGGGCUCGUAGGUGGCCAACUAAGUCAGACGUGAAAUCCCUCGGCUUAACCGGGGAACUGCAUCGGAUACUGGAUGGCUUGAAUUCGGGAGAGGGAUGCAGAAUUCCAGGUGUAGCGGUGAAAUGCGUAGAUAUCUGGAGGAAUACCGGUGGCGAAGGCGGCAUCCUGGACCGACAUUGACGCUGAGGAGCGAAAGCUAGGGGAGCAAACGGG